CAGCAGCCACGGUAACGCGAGGGGGGCUAGCGUUGCUCGGAAUUACUGGGCGUAAAGGGAGCGUAGGCGGAUGAAUUAGUCAGGGGUGAAAUCCCGGGGCUCAACCUCGGAACUGCCUUUGAUACUGUUCAUCUUGAGUAUGGGAGAGGUGUGUGGAACUCCGAGUGUAGAGGUGAAAUUCGUAGAUAUUCGGAAGAACACCAGUGGCGAAGGCGACACACUGGCCCAUUACUGACGCUGAGGCUCGAAAGCGUGGGGAGCAAACAGGAUUAGAUACCCCGGUAGUCCCUGUCUCUUAUAA
rnacentral:rRNA from 1 species